rnacentral:rRNA from 1 species
CGUGUAGGCGGUCAGGUUAGUGGGACGUGAAAUGCCCCGGCUCACCCGGGGACCUGCGUCCCAAACUGCCUGGCUUGAGUAUGGGGGAGGAUGAGGGAAUUCCUGGUGUAGCGGUGAAAUGCGUAGAUAUCAGGAGGAACACCGGUGGCGAAGGCGCUCAUCUGGCCCAAUACUGACGCUGAGGCGCGAAAGCUAGGGGAGCAAACGGGAUUAGAUACCCCGGUAGUCCUAGCCGUAAACGGUGAUCACUAGGUGUUGGAGGCAUAGACCCCUCCAGUGCCGUAGCUAACGCACUAAGUGAUCCGCCUGGGGAGUACGGCCGCAAGGUUGAA